GUCCACGCCGUAAACGAUGGUCACUAGGUGUGUGUGGUAUCGACCCCGCACGUGCCGCAGCUAACGCAAUAAGUGACCCGCCUGGGGAGUACGGCCGCAAGGUUGAAACUCAAAGGAAUUGACGGGGGCCCCGCACAAGCGGUGGAGCAUGUGGAUUAAUACGUCACUAACCGUAGAACCUUACCCAGGCUUGACAUCUAGGGAAUCCCCCUGAAAGGGGGGAGUGCUCGCAAGAGAGCCCUAAGACAGGUGUUGCAUGGCUGUCGU
rnacentral:rRNA from 1 species